rnacentral:pre_miRNA from 1 species
UGUGUACUCCCUCCGUUCCAAAAUACUUGACUUCCAUUUGUCCAAAAAUGGAUGUACCUAUAUACUAAGACAUGUCUAGAUACAUACAUAUUUUGACAAAUAGAAGGCAUGUAUUGUGCAACAGAGGGAGUAGAAU